rfam:Myotis lucifugus cont2.49180, whole genome shotgun sequence.
GGCAGUUCUCAGGUGACGCACCCCGGAAUCAGGCUCCCUCUUCUCUGGUUCCACUGUGUCACCUGAGAACUGCU